UACGUAGGGUGCGAGCGUUAAUCGGAAUUACUGGGCGUAAAGCGUGCGCAGGCGGUUUUGUAAGCCAGAUGUGAAAGCCCCGGGCUUAACCUGGGAAUGGCAUUUGGGACUGCAAGGCUUGAGUGCGGCAGAGGAGACUGGAAUUCCCGGUGUAGCAGUGAAAUGCGUAGAUAUCGGGAGGAAUACCGAUGGCGAAGGCAGGUCUCUGGGACGUUACUGACGCUGAGACGCGAAAGCGUGGGGAGCAAACAGG
rnacentral:rRNA from 1 species